rnacentral:rRNA from 1 species
CCUACGGGAGGCAGCAGUGGGGAAUUUUGGACAAUGGGGGAAACCCUGAUCCAGCCAUCCCGCGUGUGCGAUGAAGGCCUUCGGGUUGUAAAGCACUUUUGGCAGGAAAGAAACGUCGCGGGUUAAUACCCCGCGGAACUGACGGUACCUGCAGAAUAAGCACCGGCUAACUACGUGCCAGCAGCCGCGGUAAUACGUAGGGUGCAAGCGUUAAUCGGAAUUACUGGGCGUAAAGCGUGCGCAGGCGGUUCGGAAAGAAAGAUGUGAAAUCCCAGAGCUUAACUUUGGAACUGCAUUUUUAACUACCGGGCUAGAGUGUGUCAGAGGGAGGUGGAAUUCCGCGUGUAGCAGUGAAAUGCGUAGAUAUGCGGAGGAACACCGAUGGCGAAGGCAGCCUCCUGGGAUAACACUGACGCUCAUGCACGAAAGCGUGGGGAGCAAACAGGAUUAGAUACCCUGGUAGUCCACGCCCUAAACGAUGUCAACUAGCUGUUGGGGCCUUCGGGCCUUGGUAGCGCAGCUAACGCGUGAAGUUGACCGCCUGGGGAGUACGGUCGCAA